ACCGAUUUAGCUCAGUGGUAGAGCACCGUCUUGAUAAGGCGUAGGUCAAUGGUUCGAAUCCGUUAGUCGGUA
rnacentral:tRNA from 2 species